GCUUAGUACAUCAAAAAAUCAUCAGAAGCAACAUUAAAGUGAAAAAAGUUGUUCAUCAUUUGUUUGUGUGUGAGCAAAUCUGUGAGGUGGAGAGCCUCGUCGGUCUAGUAGUCGUGACUGCUGGGGACUAAAUCUCGGGCUCAAUUUUAGGGUCGAAAUCCAUUACGGGUUUUAGAAACUUUCACGAAGCAGCCCGCAUUCUGGAAGUUGAUGAUUGAUAGAUCCGUACUUCAGAGAGCACGUAAAUGUCGGUCCUUAUCUCCCUCAGGUCGUGUCGGACUGCCGUCCCAACGGGCUAUGAGAUUGAAAGAAUAGUGAGUGCACCCUGUGUCUGCGAAAAUGCUUGUGCACUAUAAUGUGUCCCGCGCAGUAGGCUAAUCUCCUUAUAUGAGAACAGCCGCCGUAGCCGAUAAUCGGCGAGGAGGACAACAGUAUGAUCUAUGCAGCUGGCUGAUCUCUUUCUAUGGAAACAGCCGCCUUGGGCCGAAAUCAGCCUCAGACGCCAUUAAUACAGUUCUUUAGGUCAAAUCUUGUUGGAGUCUGUGGGUUAUUCGAAGGAGUUGCUGUGGCGUUGUGCCACAAAGGACCCAAAAGAGCAUGAAUAUAGUUUCAUCAAUAGGGCCUGGUACAUUAUUAAAUCCACAUACAAAGGAAGUGUUCAUAAAAAUGUGAUAUUUUCCUCACAAAAUGGCAUAUGGUAUACUUGUUGUAUAACUACAUAAUUAGAAUCGAACUGAUAUCGUGCGUCUGAUAAUAAUAAACUGUAAAGGUAGUCAUUGAUAAAAAGAGCCAUUAUUAGACAAUGUGUUUUUAUGCUCAUCGUGGUAUUUUGUGAAGUGUAAAAGAUCUGAUGAUGGAACGUAGAACUGUAUUAUAAAUCCAUUGUGAUACUAUGCCCACAGACAAAGCAAAGUCAGCUACAUGGUACAAGGUGCUUGGUCAUGUACAAGCUUUGGUGCUUCUCUAUGCUAAACGAUAAUGUUGAGAGUCUUCUCUGAUGGAUUCUAGACCGGAGGCGAAGCGACUUGGGAAAAGCUCAUGUGUAAAUAACAGUCACGGGGAUCGAUCGAUUCUAAGGUUAAGCUACGUUUGGCGUAGUCGUAAUCUAUGAAAUGACCAUUUCCAGUUUUAAAAGUAAACUGACGGUCCAUACUGAUGAGUAUACACACGUUAAAUUGGGGUAGCGAAGAAAAUGCGAAGAAAUCUUUUAAUACCAAUAAACAUAAUUUCAUAACAAUAAAUAAAUUUUGAAUUUUGAAAAA